rnacentral:rRNA from 1 species
AGGGGGCAAGCGUUAUCCGGACUUACUGGGUGUAAAGGGAGCGUAGACGGCAGGGCAAGUCCGAUGUGAAAGCCCGGGGCUCAACCCCGGGACUGCAUUGGAAACUGCCCGGCUUGAGUGCAGGAGAGGCAGGCGGAAUUCCUAGUGUAGCGGUGAAAUGCGUAGAUAUUAGGAGGAACACCAGUGGCGAAGGCGGCCUGCUGGACUGUAACUGACGUUGAGGCUCGAAAGCGUGGGGAGCAA